rnacentral:rRNA from 1 species
AAUAGAUACCCUGGUAGUCCACGCCCUAAACUAUGUCAACUAGUUGUCGGGGAAGAAAUUCCUUGGUAACGCAGCUAACGCGUGAAGUUGACCGCCUGGGGAGUACGGCCGCAAGGUUAAAACUCAAAGGAAUUGACGGGGACCCGCACAAGCGGUGGAUUAUGUGGAUUAAUUCGAUGCAACGCGAAAAACCUUACCUACCCUUGACAUGUACGGAAUUCCGCAGAGAUGUGGAAGUGCCCGAAAGGGAACCGUAACGCAGGUGCUGCAUGGCUGUCGUCAGCUCGUGUCGUGAGAUGUUGGGUUAAGUCCCGCAACGAGCGCAACCCUUGCCAUUAGUUGCUACAUUCAGUUGGGCACUCUAAUGGGACCGCCGGUGACAAACCGGAGGAAGGUGGGGAUGACGUCAAGUCCUCAUGGCCCUUAUGGGUAGGGCUUCACACGUAAUACAAUGGUCGGUACAGAGGGCUGCCAACCCGCAAGGGGGAGCUAAUCCCAGAAAGCCGAUCGUAGUCCGGAUUGUAGUCUGCAACUCGACUGCAUGAAGCCGG